rnacentral:lncRNA from 1 species
GUAGUCCUAACGCCUCCGGGGAUGAUAGGAUUGUGAUUGGUAAUGGCAUGCAAUAAGUAACGAUACUAUUCCGUACUUUAAUACCUUAACGAGAUGGGAAGGGUAGAUAUGGAUACGAUGACCAGUGCACUAAUACCUCGUGCAACCCCUCUCUUUUGAGGAGUGAUUACUGGUAUUGCAUUGACGUGAUCCAUAUUAAUCAUAAACCUGACCCCCUUUCCCUUUACUUGUUUCAUAAUUGUUUAAAUCUUUUCUUAAAAUUUCUUUGCUUUUCCUCGGAUUUCAA